rnacentral:rRNA from 1 species
UACGGAGGGUGCAAGCGUUAUCCGGAUUCACUGGGUUUAAAGGGUGCGUAGGUGGGUUGGUAAGUCAGUGGUGAAAUCUCCGAGCUUAACUUGGAAACUGCCAUUGAUACUAUCAGUCUUGAAUAUUGUGGAGGUUAGCGGAAUAUGACAUGUAGCGGUGAAAUGCUUAGAUAUGACAUAGAACACCAAUUGCGAAGGCAGCUGGCUACGCAUAUAUUGACACUGAGGCACGAAAGCGUGGGGAUCAAACAGG